AUUGAACGCUGGCGGCAUGCCUUACACAUGCAAGCCGAGCGGUAUUGUUUCUUCGGAAAUGAGAGAGCGGCGUACGGGUGCGGAACACGUGUGCAACCUGCCUUUAUCUGGGGGAUAGCCUUUCGAAAGGAAGAUUAAUACUCCAUAACAAAUUGAACGGCAUCGUUUAAUAUUGAAAGCUCCGGCGGAUAGAGAUGGGCACGCGCAAGAUUAGCUAGUUGGUGAGGUAACGGCUCACCAAGGCGAUGAUCUUUAGGGGGCCUGAGAGGGUGAUCCCCCACACUGGUACUGAGACACGGACCAGACUCCUACGGGAGGCAGCAGUGAGGAAUAUUGGUCAAUGGGUGCAAGCCUGAACCAGCCAUCCCGCGUGAAGGACGACUGCCCUAUGGGUUGUAAACUUCUUUUGUAUAGGGAUAAACCUACCCUCGUGAGGGUAGCUGAAGGUACUAUACGAAUAAGCACCGGCUAACUCCGUGCCAGCCGCCGCCGUAACAC
rnacentral:rRNA from 1 species